rnacentral:lncRNA from 1 species
CAGGCUUUCAGUCUCUGAAACUAAAAGUAGCGGAGUUGGGAGGGACAGGUGAUUGGCUGUUUCGGUCCACUGCAGUUACUUUUGUUUUUCAAAAAAAUGUGUUUCUUAGUGUGCGUGCGUGUCUGUGUGUGUGUGUGUGUGUGUGUGUGUACAUGUGCACACAUGGAUGUCAUAAAGUUUAGAAAGGGGCCAGAAGGUCCUUGAAACAAAUCAUCCCUUUAUACAGUCACAGCAGGGCAGCAAAAAAUUUGACUCUGAGCUUAAUGAAAAUGAACAUCUUCCUUCUUUCAAUUUUAGGCCAUUCAGAUUUAUUUGGAGAGAAGUUGUGUUCAUGGGAGAGCUCUGAAUGUGUUCGUGGCCAUAUAUUAGAUCAGUCGUAUAUGCUGUGUUUGUUGAGACCCAGAAGGAAGGACACUUCCAGAAAGAGAGACAUUUGGAGCGUUGGAAGAGGAUUGCCACAGCCUCUCACGACACCACCUUUCAAAGCCUUCCAGCAUGUGUACAUGCACAUUCUGUCAUCCUAGUGGUGACUGGGGGUGAGUCUGUACCCUGAGCGGAGCCCCCAGGUCCCAUCUUCUCUCACCUACUCACAGACAUUCGUCCACAGCUUCUCUCGUCCUUCUCUGACAUUUUUAGUUUGUUGUCAUUGUUGUUUUACUGGUCUCUUGGGUCAUUACCAUCAGUGUUCAAACACAUGGCCUUUUUUACCAUACUAAAUCCCAAAUCCAAAGCAAAACAAAAACAAGCAAAAAACAACAAAAAAAAAAAAACCAAGAACAGAAAUUAAAAAAAAAAAAAAAACAACAAAACCCCUCUUCUUUCACUUUGCUUCUUCCAGCACCGAUUGCCCAUUUUCCUUGCAACAAAACUCUGACCCAGAGUUGUCUAAACUCAGCUUCCAAUUUCUUUCCUCCCAUGUCUUUUCAUUCCGGCUUUUAUCUUCGCUGCUGUCCCCCAACUGCCCUCGUCUGCGUUACCAAUGUCUGCCUUGUUAAAUACAGCUGUCAGCUCUCAUAUUAGUUCUGAAGCAGUUGACUCAUUGAUUCUUUCUUGUGAAUAAACUUUCUUCUCUUGGCUCUAGGAUACCGUGUACUCUGUUCUCUUACUCUACUCUAUCUCAUGUCCUCUCCAUUCCGGCAACAUGGGUCUCUCUGCCUCUUCAGAUACGUCAGGCAUGCUUAUGUCCUAAGGCUUUUGUGCAUCUCUUAGGAAGUCUCUUCCCCUGGGAGGUGCCCAUGGCUAACCACUUCACUUAAGACUUUGCUCAAAUAUCAACUUCUCAAUGGUUUCUACUUUGACUGUCCUAUUUAAAAUUGUGCUAUUUAAAAUUAUAAACUAUGCC